rnacentral:rRNA from 1 species
UGGGGAAUUUUGGACAAUGGGCGCAAGCCUGAUCCAGCCAUGCCGCGUGCGGGAAGAAGGCCUUCGGGUUGUAAACCGCUUUUGUCAGGGAAGAAAUCUUCUGAGUUAAUACCUCGGGAGGAUGACGGUACCUGAAGAAUAAGCACCGGCUAACUACGUGCCAGCAGCCGCGGUAAUACGUAGGGUGCAAGCGUUAAUCGGAAUUACUGGGCGUAAAGCGUGCGCAGGCGGUUUUGUAAGACAGAGGUGAAAUCCCCGGGCUCAACCUGGGAACUGCCUUUGUGACUGCAAGGCUUGAGUGCGGCAGAGGGGGGAUGGAAUUCCGCGUGUAGCAGUGAAAAUGCGUAGAUAUGCGGAGGAACACCGAUGGCGAAGGCAAUCCCCUGGGCCUGCACUGACGCUCAUGCACGAAAGCGUGGGGAGCAAACAGGAUUAGAUACCCUGGUAGUCCACGCCCUAAACGAUGUCAACUGGUUGUUGGGAAGGUUCCUUCUCAGUAACGUAGCUAACACGUGAAGUUGACCGCCUGGGGAGUACGGCCGCAA